rnacentral:tRNA from 1 species
GGAGGGAUACUCAAGUGGCUUAAGAGGCGCCUCUGCUAAGGGCGUAGACCGUGAAAGCGGUGCGUGGGUUCGAAUCCCACUCCCUCCG